rnacentral:rRNA from 1 species
UAAUAGUGUAUAUUAAAGUUGUUGCAGUUAAAAAGCUCGUAGUUGAAUGUUGGUGUCGAACGAGCGGUCAGCUUCGGCUGUACUGCUCUCUCGACUCCUUCCUUCUGUGGACUACGUCGCACUUUACUGUGUGGCGCUAGGACGCAGAUCGUUUACUGUGAAAAAAUUAGAGUGUUCAAAGCAGGCCGUACGCUUGAAUACAUUAGCGUGGAAUAAUGGAAUAGGACGUCGGGCCUAUUUUGUUGGUUCUAGGACCGUCGUAAUGAUUAAUAGGGACAGUUGGGGCCGUUUAUAUUCCGUAGUCAGAGGUGAAAUUCUUGGAUUUACGGAAGAUAAACUACUGCGAAAGCAUUCGGCAAGGAUGUUCNCGUUA